ACUAAGAGCGAAUGGUGGAUGCCUUGACUGGUAAAGGCGAUGAAGGACGUACUAGACUGCGAUAAGCUACGGGGAGCUGUCAAGAAGCUUUGAUCCGUAGAUUUCCGAAUGGGGCAACCCAAUGUAUAGAGAUAUACAUUACCUAUAUAGGAGCGAACGAGGGGAAUUGAAACAUCUUAGUACCCUCAGGAAAAGAAAUCAAUAGAGAUUGCGUCAGUAGCGGCGAGCGAAAGCGCAAGAGGGCAAACCCAGUGCUUGCACUGGGGGUUGUAGGACUGCAAUGUGCAAGAGCUGAGUUUAGCAGAACAUUCUGGAAAGUAUAGCCAUAGAGGGUGAUAGUCCCGUAUGCGAAAAACAAAGCUUAGCUAGCAGUAUCCUGAGUAGGGCGGGACACGAGGAAUCCUGUCUGAAUCCGGGUCGACCACGAUCCAACCCUAAAUACUAAUACCAGAUCGAUAGUGCACAAGUACCGUGAGGGAAAGGUGAAAAGAACUGAGGUGAUCAGAGUGAAAUAGAACCUGAAACCAUUUGCUUACAAUCAUUCAGAGCACUAUGUAGCAAUACAGUGUGAUGGACUGCCUUUUGCAUAAUGAGCCUGCGAGUUGUGGUGUCUGGCAAGGUUAAGCAAACGCGAAGCCGUAGCGAAAGCGAGUCUGAAUAGGGCGCUUAGUCAGAUGCUGCAGACCCGAAACGAAGUGAUCUAUCCAUGAGCAAGUUGAAGCUAGUGUAAGAACUAGUGGAGGACUGAACCCAUAGGCGUUGAAAAGCCCCGGGAUGACUUGUGGAUAGGGGUGAAAGGCCAAUCAAACUUCGUGAUAGCUGGUUCUCUCCGAAAUAUAUUUAGGUAUAGCGUUGUGUCGUAAUAUAAGGGGGUAGAGCACUGAAUGGGCUAGGGCAUACACCAAUGUACCAAACCCUAUCAAACUCCGAAUACCUUAUAUGUAAUCACAGCAGUCAGGCGGCGAGUGAUAAAAUCCGUCGUCAAGAGGGAAACAACCCAGACUACCAGCUAAGGUCCCUAAAUCUUACUUAAGUGGAAAACGAUGUGAAGUUACUUAAACAACCAGGAGGUUGGCUUAGAAGCAGCCAUCCUUUAAAGAAAGCGUAAUAGCUCACUGGUCUAGUGAUUUUGCGCGGAAAAUAUAACGGGGCUAAAGUAAGUACCGAAGCUGUAGACUUGCACACAACUU
rnacentral:rRNA from 1 species